AGAGUUUGAUCCUGGCUCAGAUUGAACGCUGGCGGUAUGCUUAACACAUGCAAGUCGAACGGAAACGAAACUAGCUUGCUAGUAGGCGUCGAGUGGCGGACGGGUGAGUAACGCGUAGGAAUCUGCCUGAUAGUGGGGGAUAGCCCGAAGAAAUUCGGAUUAAUACCGCAUAAUCUAUUCGUAGUAAAGUGGGGGACUUUCGAGCCUCACGCUAUCAGAUGAGCCUGCGUAAGAUUAGCUUGUUGGUAGGGUAAAAGCCUACCAAGGCAACGAUCUUUAGCUGGUCUGAGAGGAUGAUCAGCCACAUCGGGACUGAGACACGGCCCGAACUCCUACGGGAGGCAGCAGUGGGGAAUAUUGGACAAUGGGGGCAACCCUGAUCCAGCAAUACCGCGUGUGUGAAGAAGGCCUGAGGGUUGUAAAGCACUUUCAAUUGUGAAGAAAAGUUAACGGUUAAUAACCGUUGACCUUGACGUUAACUUUAGAAGAAGCACCGGCUAACUCCGUGCCAGCAGCCGCGGUAAUACGGAGGGUGCAAGCGUUAAUCGGAAUUACUGGGCGUAAAGCGUGCGUAGGCGGUUUAUUAAGUCAGAUGUGAAAGCCCCGGGCUUAACCUGGGAACUGCAUUUGAAACUGGUCAACUAGAGUAUGGUAGAGGAAAGUGGAAUUUCUGGUGUAGCGGUGAAAUGCGUAGAUAUCAGAAGGAACAUCAAUGGCGAAGGCAGCUUUCUGGACCAAUACUGACGCUGAGGUACGAAAGCGUGGGUAGCAAACAGGAUUAGAUACCCUGGUAGUCCACGCCGUAAACGAUGAUAACUAGCCGUUGGGGGGAUUUACCCUUUAGUGGCGAAGCUAACGCGUUAAGUUAUCCGCCUGGGGAGUACGGCCGCAAGGCUAAAACUCAAAGGAAUUGACGGGGACCCGCACAAGCGGUGGAGCAUGUGGUUUAAUUCGAUGCAACGCGAAGAACCUUACCUGGUCUUGACAUCCUGCGAACUUUCUAGAAAUAGAUUGGUGCCUUCGGGAACGCAGUGACAGGUGCUGCAUGGCUGUCGUCAGCUCGUGUCGUGAGAUGUUGGGUUAAGUCCCGUAACGAGCGCAACCCCUAUCCUUAUUUGCCAGCACAUUAUGGUGGGAACUAUAAGGAGACUGCCGGUGAUAAACCGGAGGAAGGCGGGGACGACGUCAAGUCAUCAUGGCCCUUACGACCAGGGCUACACACGUGCUACAAUGGGAAGGACAAAGAGCCGCGAAGCCGCGAGGUGUAGCUAAUCUCAUAAAUCUUUUCGUAGUCCGGAUUGGAGUCUGCAACUCGACUCCAUGAAGUCGGAAUCGCUAGUAAUCGUAGAUCAGAAUGCUACGGUGAAUACGUUCCCGGGUCUUGUACACACCGCCCGUCAUACCAUGGGAGUGGGUUGCACCAGAAGUGGCUAGUCUAACUUUGUGAGGACGGUCACCACGGUGUGAUUCAUGACUGGGGUAAAGUCGUAACAAGGUAACC
rnacentral:rRNA from 1 species